UCCUCCCGCUCGCCGUUAGGGAGGCUUUGCGCUUCAGCCGGUCCCUCUGCCGCCUCCGCUCCCGCCCCCUCUUCUGCGUCUCCGCCGCCUCCGCCGCCUGGAGAAUCCAGGGGUCGCUUACCGGGCUGGCCCCGCGCCUCCUCCGUCGCUUCAGCCGCCCGCCAGCGGUCUCCCCAAGAAGAGGCUCGCCGGCCGCGGAGCCGCUUGGGGCCUCAGUUCUCUUCCUCUUGCCGUCGCCGCGGGUCCUGGAGAAGCGGCCGUGGCUGGGAAACGGGGCACCGCGGUUCCAACGGUAAUGAUAAAAAUACUUACGUUGGGCAUUUACCCUACUUUCAAGGAGCUGAUCAUUUAAGGAUGGUAACCGGAACCACGAUGUAAUACAGGCUAUAAGCAUAAAAUAACUGGAAUGCACUUGUGCGGCUUGAUUGAUGUAAGGCUGUCUUCAGCGUUCCUUACUGUAACCCUGUAAUAGGCCGUGGCCUGGGUUUCUC
rnacentral:lncRNA from 1 species